UUGCAGGCUUGUUGAUCGGUGCUGGAUGCGCCCUCUACCCCCUGGGCUGGGACAGUGAGGAAGUCCGGCAGACUUGUGGCUACAUUUCUGGCCAGUUCGAUCUGGGUAAGUGUGAGAUCGGCUGGGCCUACUACUGCACGGGAGCAGGGGCUGCCGCCGCCAUGCUGCUGUGCACGUGGCUGGCUUGCUUUUCUGGCAAGAAACAGAAGCACUACCCAUACUGAGAUGGAGCCCCCAAGAGCAGACGGAGGAGAAGAUGGGCCAAAGUGGCUUGAAAGGGGCCGAAGCAUCCAGCUACUUUCAGAAGGUGGAAUAGUUGUUCUAAUCCAAUGCAAUGCUAACGAAAUGAAACCUAAUAAAACCAGGAACGUUAUAUAGGAAGGAAGGGGUGUGGGAGAUUUGUG